UCCAGAUUCUUUUUUCCCUUUCGGCUCAAGACGCUCCUUCGCCAAAGAAGCAGAAGCGGCGGCGUUGGAAUCCGAUAUGGGCUGGUGCACAGGCGUAGCAUGGACAAUGGGACGGUUUGUUGGUUUCAUACCGCUGGCACGUAGCCAGCUACAUUGUCCACGAUGGCCACGGCUCGUGCAAGCGAACUUUUCAGUCCAAGCGCAUAUAUUGUACUACUGGGAUAAUGAUAGAACAGGCCUUAUACCGCUCUCUUACGUUGGAUAGAGUAGCAGCACGUAACGUGAAAUUGUUUUCGCGACUUCUCGGCUCCCCAUUUGGGCAGGAGUGGGGAUCGGGCGUUUUCGUUGGACAGGAUCCCCUCGGUUUUUACAGCGGUAAGCGGAGAGGGGAAAUUACUUCCCACCUUCUAAAUUUCACUGUGUGCGCGUUACCGGUGUCCGGCCUCUCGACACCGCGAGAACGAUGGAGUGGGUGUUGGAUGUUGUCGGCGACGAGUUGUAAAUUUGCGCGACACUUGUUAUACAGCAUGCGGUAUGUAACGAGAUGCGUGCGUCCUCUCUUAUAAAUUAACGCAACUGGGCUGUGAUCAAUCGUACACGAGUGAAAAUUGUGCGGCGAAUAUUUCGUUAACGGUUAACAGUGUGUACGUGCGUGGAGAGAACGCGCGCGAGUCUUGCAAGAGAUUCCAAUCGGAUUCGGUUCUGAAAUAAAGCAGGACGAGGAGGAGCAGGUUUAAUUCUUUUCGAGAGAGAGUGAAAGAGGUUCUACAAUUGGUGGUACGAUGUAACUGUAUAAUGUUAUUGGCCUAUAAUCUAUCACGGGGUAGAUUAACGUCGGUUGAAACUUUGGAAGGCUGAUUUAUGGCAUCACCCGACUGUUAUAAUUAACGAUAUUGGACCCUUAAGCCCCACCACGUGCGAUUUUAAUUAUGUUGAGGAUGCAAGAGUGUGCUGCUUCCAUCAAUUCACUAUUAGCCGUUUAUAACGUCGCGCGACUUAGAGGUUAUAUAUACUCGUUUAGCUUCUUGUUUUUGUCUACCAUGUUACACGUACAUUAAACGAUAUCGAUGAUCCAAACAAUCGAUUCCAAUAUAUCGUUUAAAUAACAAUUUAUUUAAUCUGAAAAGAAUGUACAGUUCCUUUAUCGUUUCGAAUAUACGAGAUAUAUCGUCCAAGUUUGAUCGCCUCCAAGGCUUCUGUUCGGAACAGAAAGUUAGAACGUUUUGACUCGCCUGAUACAGUUACGCCAUCUAUAACCCAAUAUCAUCCAGGUUAACCUAGCGAAAUUCAAAAAUGCUUGCACGUCAUCCCCUCUCCUCCCGAUAACUUCGACCUACUUAUUAACCGAGCUCGACCAAUCAGAAUCCUCGCAUCUCGAAUUUUCGCCACCAGAGGCAUCGUUCGCUCACAACUAAACAGAGACUAAUUUAUGCGGUAAUCAAGGACCGAGCGUCGACCCUUGUUUUCCUCCAUUGUACGUAUAUAUAUAUAUACGCGAUGUACUGCCAAGUGUAUUUCCUGGCUAAUACAACCGUCGUUGGAUUCCUUUUUCUCCCUGACAAUACCUCUACACUUCCCUUUCCAACUUCCUACAGAACUCGGUUGGUUCUGUUUUGCCUACGUUCUUGCUCCUCUUCCUCCUUCUCUCUGUUGUGCGUGUAUUCUCUUUCCCUCUCCGUCCUUCUGUUGCUGCUCUCCAUUUCCGAGCAAGAGACCUUUCGCGUUUAUACGAGCCAACACCCAUCGUGAGAUCGGGGACACCUGCCCCCUCUAAUCGUGGUCAGAGGUGGAACACCUCCGAGCAUACUUAUGAAUACGAUUGCAGCCCGCGUUUAUACCGACCGAGCGCAAUCGUAAAUUUCUGAUUUCGUGGUUAUACGGGCCACCGUGUGUUUCUGGAAACGAGAUGACGUCAAUACGCUGCUGUUGUCGUUCCACGGUGAUUCCGGGCAGCGUGUCUCGGCCAGGAUAUCGAAAAGCAUGAAUUUGGAUAUUUUCGCGAAAUUGGCUUAGCAAGGAUUCUGGAUCAGAGGCGCGUCACAGGAUAAAUGUAGGAAUUUUCUGGAAACGAGAAUUUCAUAUUGUAAAUUCGGCGGAUUUCGUACUGGAUUUAGAGGCGAAAAAAUGGUCGAGGUUGGAUAGUUGAAAAAGAAUAUAUCAAUGUUCCUAUGUAACGAACGCGAAAAUUUCACGAAAUUCUUUUUAUUUCACUACGUUUCUCGAGUAUCGGUCAAUAAGAUCGGAACAAGAGAUAAUUAAUAUUCGAAGAGACGCGUUAAAAUUCAACUUUAUCCAAUUACCACGGGAAAUUAGCACGAAUUAAAAUUUCCUUCGAAUUUCUUAUCCCGUUUAAGAGGAAUUAAAAUUCAAAUGGAACGAGAAACUAAGUCAAAUAUUAGCGUGUAAGGAGUAAUCGCGACGAUGUGCAACGGCUGGCCGCUCCCUUAUCUCGUUAACGGCAUUUUCAUCUGCAAGCAACGUUUUCACUUUUCUCGGUUUCCGCACGUUCUGCAAAAAGCGAACACACUCCACAGGGACUAAAUCUCCGAAGAUGGCGCAAAACUACGAGAGACACGAUGCCCUCUCCGAUUAAACUUACUCCCAAAACCGAGUUACACGGAUAAAGAAGAAACGGGCGAUCUGAAAGUGAAGGCAGAAACGAAAGUUGGAAGAAAGGAGGGGGUGCCGAAGAGGAACACAGCGGAUCACUGCGAAGGCUGUGCAAACUGUCGACAUACCGAAGCAACACUUCGCAGACCGUUUGCGCCACCUGAUCGCAUACCGGUGCUCGUCGACAGCCACGGCUGCCGGACAUACCGGAAGGUCGGAUCCCGGAUCUCCAGACAUCCGGGCAAUGUCUACCUUUCCAUAGACCUCCUCUGACAGACGACUCGAGCUCGAUGGCAUUCGGCAACGUUGCAGUCGUAUCUUACACGUUUCUAAAUAACGUUCCAAUUAAUUAAAACUUCUCCUUUCCAUUCACGCACCUGAAUUACCUUGUUAUUUUUAAAAUAAAAAAUCGAAUCGCCUGUUUAAUAAAUUAACACAUAUAUAUGUGUAUUCUCGAGGCCUGUCUCGAAACGUAUAGCUAACUGAAAAAGAAGAGAAGGGAGACAAGAGGAGAUUUUUUCGGGGACGGGGUGUCGAUCGGUUUGCCCGGAAGCGUCGACACGUUAAUACCCUUCUUGGUGACACGGGGGCCCCGCGGCGAAAUUGAAAAGUCCGAAUCUCCGGAUUUCGCGAAACAUGGCCGCCCCGCCGCCCAGGACCCGUUAUCAACGAGCGGCACGCAUUCGACUGAGCUUGACUCGUCAAAAGGGAUUCUCCGCCGCUGCUCCCCUCCCAUCCUAUAUCCCAUGAUCCGGGCAAAUCUAUCUUGAAUUAUCUUGAAAUGCUGCCAGUAAAGUUGUAUUCGUUGCCCGGCUCUGCCGUUCGUUCUUCGCUUUUCCGCCGCCCGGUGAAAAUCUGAUAACCGAGGCACAGCCGAGCUGCUCUUGCAAUACGUACGUAUUCAUGGUGUGUACAGGGGAGGGGGUCUCUGAUAAACUCGUUUCAACCGAUUUAUAGCGCGUGGAGUAAACAGAAAUUAGGCGAAAAUGAGCGUGUGAAGAGGAGCAGUAUAUUUUGGAGUGGGUUCGAGAGUUUGUUUGCUGGAAGAAGAAGAAGAAGGAAAAAAGGAAAGAUUUGAUUCCAUCAGAUUCAGAUUUCCAUUAUUCAUGUUUAUAAAAAUAGGGAUUUACAUGAACAUCCGUGGUAUUAUUAAUUGCAUUCGUGUUCUUAUUAAACUUUCUCAAAGAGGUUUCUUCCCUUCCCUAAACAGGGAAACUUUUUAUCCACUUCCCUUAAAAUAUACACGAAGGAAUAAUUUCAGAAUUUAAAUAGAAUUUUUACCGAGUUUAUAAUACGUCUGAACUUUUUUAAAACCGCCUAUAUAUGAAAAGUUGCAACCAGAGAGGGACCUGCACUUCCCAUUUCAUUCGAUGUAAAAUGCGUCUGACAGUAGAUUAUCCGUUCCCUCGUAAUCCUUUCCGGUUUGUUUUUCCGCUCCUUUUUUUUCUUUCUUCCUUCCUUUUUUCUUUUCUUUCCUAUCCCACGAAUCAAUCACCCUUUAUAUUCGCUGCGUGUAAUAUUCCAAAAUAUUCCACGAUACGAGUAAAACAUUCGUAUUUGUUCGCAUCAUCAACUUUUAAUAAAUGUCAGCUCUCUUACACGUACUUGCAUACCUCGAACGUUUCUCUUCUUUCGAAGAAACGGAUUCUUUUUUUUUAAUUCACGACGAUUGUUGAAGAUAUGAAAAAUUAAUUCUAAAGGUAUCCAAAUGCGCCAUCUCUAUUCUGAUCCAGUUCGGUGGUGAAAGAAACAAGGGAGUGAAAAAAAAAAGGGAUCGCGAAUAUUUUAAUCUAAAGGCCGAUGCUAGUCGGCUUUUUUUAUCGGCGCUGGAAACGCCGUUGGUUUCCGGCCGAGCGAGGUUUAUCGCGUGUACAGGAAAUCCGCGAAAAAUGCCGAAACGUGUCGUAAAUAAUCAUGGACGCGAUGCUCUUGAUCUCUCUCUCGCCGAUGAUAGAAUUUACUUGGAAAACGAUCAAAAUUAUUAACACACACAUGUAUAAAUAGUUUCAACAGGAAAGAAAGUAAAUUUUGUCUUUUCAAAACU